AUCGACAUCACAUAUACACAUUCACAUUAUUCACAUUCACAUACCUAGGAGCAGAGCAGAGCAGACAAAAGUUCCGUCAUUAAAAUUCCCAAAUUCCCAUUUCUUUGUGCCAUUGCCAAAAAAUUAUUACCUACUAAUUUAAAAAAAAAUUGCAAAUAAAUGUACAUUUAAAGUUCAUGUGUCGUCGGUAUUUAUUAAUUUCUAUAACUUAGAUAGAAUAAAGUUAAAUAAAAGAAAACGUUGAUCGAAAUUUUUCGUCGAAAAAGUUAAAAUUAUUCGAGACAUUUGGCAAAGGAGUAAAUUUUCGUUGCAUCGCCAUCGCUAUCGAAAUCGACAUCGCCAUCGCCGCGCCGCCGCUGCCAAUGCCACUGCCACCCAGCGCCAGCACCAGCACCAGUACCAACACCAAAAUGGUCAAAGGAGCCUCUGAAAACUGUCCCCGUCGUCCCCAGUUUUUUUAAAACUUGGUGUGGUGGUGGACUUUUUUUUUUGCAGUUUUAGUUUACGAGAGUCGACCUCGAGAGUUCAGCGUCUGCGUCUCCGUUUAAACAAAAAAGAAUUGCAAUCAAAUUUUCUACGGUUAAUAAAAUAUUAAUAAUAAUAGUCAUUUGGUAACGUGAAUAUUUUGUUGGACAGUGGACUCCUGACUCAUCACACAAGGUCAAAUACAUCCCAGACAAAUCUAGACCAUUUUCCAACAAUCUUGGCCUUUAUCUUGGACCAAUUGAAAACUAUAAAACCUCGAGAUAAAAUGUUUAUACAUAAAUAAAGAGUUACCAACGAGUUAAACAAAACGAUCAAGAGAACCAAACGCAGG